rnacentral:rRNA from 1 species
CCUACGGGAGGCAGCAGUGGGGAAUUUUGGACAAUGGGGGCAACCCUGAUCCAGCAAUGCCGCGUGAGUGAAGAAGGCCUUCGGGUUGUAAAGCUCUUUUGUCAGGGAAGAAACAGCAGCUCUAACACAGACUGCGAAUGACGGUACCUGAAGAAUAAGCACCGGCUAACUACGUGCCAGCAGCCGCGGUAAUACGUAGGGUGCGAGCGUUAAUCGGAAUUACUGGGCGUAAAGCGUGCGCAGGCGGUUAUACAAGACAGGCGUGAAAUCCCCGGGCUUAACCUGGGAAUGGCGUCUGUGACUGUAUAGCUAGAGUGUGUCAGAGGGGGGUGGAAUUCCACGUGUAGCAGUGAAAUGCGUAGAUAUGUGGAGGAACACCAAUGGCGAAGGCAGCCCCCUGGGAUAACACUGACGCUCAUGCACGAAAGCGUGGGGAGCAAACAGGAUUAGAUACCCUGGUAGUCCACGCCCUAAACGAUGCUGACUAGUUGUUGGGAAUUUACAUUCUCAGUAACGUAGCUAACGCGUGAAGUCAGCCGCCNGGGGAGUACGGUCGCAAGAUUAAAACUCAAAUGAAUUGACGG